GGAGGUUUGGCAGAGUUGGUCGAUUGCACCGGUCUUGAAAACCGGCGUGCCGAAAGGUACCGGGGGUUCGAAUCCCUCAGCCUCCG
rnacentral:tRNA from 1 species